GUAGGUGGCAAGCGUUGUCCGGAAUUAUUGGGCGUAAAGCGCGCGCAGGCGGUCCUUUAAGUCUGAUGUGAAAGCCCACGGCUCAACCGUGGAGGGUCAUUGGAAACUGGGGGACUUGAGUACAGAAGAGGAAAGCGGAAUUCCACGUGUAGCGGUGAAAUGCGUAGAGAUGUGGAGGAACACCAGUGGCGAAGGCGGCUUUCUGGUCUGUAACUGACGCUGAGGCGCGAAAGCGUGGGGAGCAAACAGGGAUUAGAUACCCUGGUAGUCCACGCCGUAAACGAUGAGUGCUAAGUGUUAGGGGGUUUCCCGCCCCUUAGUGCUGCAGCCAACGCAUUAAGCACUCCGCCUGGGGAGUACGGCCGCAAGGCUG
rnacentral:rRNA from 1 species